rnacentral:rRNA from 1 species
GUUAGGAAUAUUGGACAAUGGGCGAAAGCCUGAUCCAGCCAUGCCGCGUGAACGAUGAAGGCCUUCGGGUUGUAAAGUUCUUUAGCCGAUGAUUAUAAUGACUGUAGUCGGAAAAUAAGCCCCGGCUAACUUCGUGCCAGCAGCCGCGGUAAUACGAAGGGGGCGAGCGUUAUUCGGAAUCACUGGGCGUAAAGCGUGCGUAGGCGGUUUUGUAAGUUAGGAGUGAAAGCCCAGGGCUCAACCUUGGAAUUGCUCUUAAAACUGCAAGGCUCGAAUCUCGGAGAGGAUAGCGGAAUUUCCAGUGUAGCAGUGAAAUGCGUAGAUAUUGGAAGGAACACCAGUGGCGUAAGCGUCUAUCUGGACGAGUAUUGACGCUGAGGCACGAAAGCGUGGGGAUCAAACAGGAUUAGAAACCCGUGUAGUCC